rnacentral:rRNA from 1 species
UACAGAGGGUGCGAGCGUUAAUCGGAAUUACUGGGCGUAAAGCGCACGUAGGUGGCUUAGUAAGUCGGAUGUGAAAUCCCCGGGCUUAACCUGGGAACUGCAUUCGAAACUGCUUUGCUAGAGUAUGGGAGAGGGCAGUGGAAUUUCAGGUGUAGCGGUGAAAUGCGUAGAUAUCUGAAGGAACAUCAGUGGCGAAAGCGACUGCCUGGACCAAUACUGACGCUCAUGUGCGAAAGCGUGGGGAGCAAACAGG